rnacentral:tRNA from 1 species
GAUGUGGCUCAGUGAUGGAGCAUUUGCCUAGUAUGCACAAGGACCUGGGUUCCAUCCUAGCAUC